rnacentral:pre_miRNA from 1 species
GUAAUACUCCCUCCGUCCGAAAAUACUUGUCAUCAAAAUGGACAAAAAGGGAUGUAUCUAGAACUAAAAUAUAUCUAGAUACAUCUCCUUUUAUCCAUUUUGAUGACAAGUAUUUCCGGACGGAGGGAGUACUUA